rnacentral:tRNA from 1 species
GCCCCAGUAGCUCAGUCGGACAGAGCAACUGCCUUCUAAGCAGUGGGUCGCGGGUUCAAUUCCUGCCUGGGGCACCA